ensembl:lncRNA
UUUGGGCUUCCAUUCCCACUUGUCGUACAUGAUAUGGUUUAUAUCACAUGGUUUGACUUUUGCCACCAAAUCUGUUAAGUGCAGAAUCUUGUGUUGCGUCCUCAUCUACACAGUCGGCGUCACUUCAAAUGUUUCAAACACAAAACAGAGGGAUCAUAUGCAAAUGAAGAGAGCCUUCAAAAGCCAACGUCAGAGUAGCAUGUGACAAGCAGCGGGAGCCUUCAAGAUGGAUGGACGAAAAGGAAAGGAAGGAAAUUCUGACAUCUCCAUGUGGAGGGACGAUGUGAUUUUCGAUUGGUUUCAAGAAAUGUGGUGCAGAGCUUCAUGUGUCCCUCCGGAUACAUUGUGUUGGUUUUGUUUCAUUUGGUGCCAUGAUCAGUUGAAAAUUAAAACUGUGUGCUGCACUUGGGUGACGGAUAAAUAAAACUAAUGGGACAGGUAGCGGUCUGCAGCCCGCUUGGUUGGUGACCACUGUUCUAGUGCAUUCGACUAUUAUUCAGCAAGG